GAGAUCGCAGUUAGUACAGCGUUGCCGGGAUUUUGGUUCCUUGUCGGAGUAUUCGAAGUUUGAAGGGGUUGGAUCCUUCUCUCCUUGACUGCUAAGUCUCAUCUCUUGUAUUCUGUUAGUCUGGGUUCUUACUUGUGGUUCUGUGUUGAUUGCCGUUGUGGAACCGUCUCCGUACUUGCAUUUUAGUGGAUCUUUUAUGGUCGAGUCUCCCUCCCUGAGGGUCCACUGAGUAGGAAAGUUUUCUCCAAACAGCGUUAACAAUUUCUGAUGUCUUUUACUUUCAGCUAUUUCGUUUAUACCGAUUAAGUGACUGUUUAAGUUCUGCUGCGAUUAACAUGUAUCUUCAAUCUAAUUUAUGCUUAAAGCCAUUCAAUUCAUGCGUAUUUGCAAUUAUAACAGGUUAUGUUUUCAUUUGAUUGAGUAUUUGCAAUAACUUUUGAUUACAUGAAUGCUGCGUACGUAAUGAGCCCCGGUUAAUUACAUUUUUCGCCUAAAUAAUUAGGUCGUUUAUUUGAUGGCAUGUGAGACUCUUUAUUAUCCUAAUAUUUUUUUAUUUCUUAUCUCUAAUAUAUUGUAUCUCCCUUCCUGAAAAGGGUCUGCUGUAAUUUCUAUCUCACUCUACUUAUCACGAACUAAUACCUCCGAAUAAAAAAAAAACGUUGUGUAAUGCGGCGUUCGUUGAAAAUGAUGAGCAUAAACAUCUCAGCCAUGUUUUCCUGGAAUAGAUGUGCUCCGAACAGCUGGGCCUGAAAUUACAGUCAUAUAUGAUCAUCGUUAAUGAUUAUCGAUUCCUAGCUAUUUCUUUUCUGGAGUCAAAUUAUAUGUUCUAAUUAAAAAAAAAAGAUUAAACCGAAUGGGAAUAGUACGAACAAGGAUCACUGACCGCGUUGGAGAAGAACUCUGCUGGCAAAGCAAGGUUGAAGACCACCUAGAAAAAAAAUCACCAUCAGGCUAAUCAGAAGCACCACCAGAGUACUCUUGUUCAUCGUGUUCGUCAUCAGUCGUCUGUGUAGUAAUCUUUAAAAACAAGGAGCUUUAAUCUGUUUCCUGUGUAUCUCUCUAAAACAGAGCUUUAAGUAGUCAUAUGAGAAAUGUAGUCAAACUGUCGGCGUUGACCAAGAUUUCCUGGCGGCUGCUACAGUCUCAUUAUUCCGCGUUUUCAGUGACUGGUUUUGACCAAGACUUCUGGCGGCUGCUACAGUCUCAUUAAUAUAAUUUAUAAGUUAUUCACCACUUGUACACAGCUCAUCAAUUCCUACAUAUAAUUUAUCCAAGUAUUUAAAUUGAACAAAAAAACAUUGAACAACCAAAUUUCAGUUUAAAAGGAGAAAAACAAAAGGUUAAAAGGAGAUAACUACAGCAUUAAAAGGAGAAAAAUAAAAAAGUUAAAAACACACGAUUUGUUUGAAAACAAAUUAUUCCGCUGCCGGGAUUCGAACCCGGAAUUCCAACACAGGGAUCGAAAUCAAACCUGGAAGAUAACUGUUUGAAGAGUUUGCUACAGCAGAUUUGGUGAUCAUUGUUAAGGAGUUAUCAUUAUUAUUGCUUGGGGUAUUGUUGAAGAUAAUUAAAUUAAUAAACAGAAUAAUUAUGUAGGUCACAAGAUAUAAAUAAUUUGUCACAAGAUAUAAAUAAUAAUUGUAUUGUUAUAGCAUUUUUUAUGUGAUACAUAAUAGACAACGUUUGGUUACACUUUACAACUAAUUAACUACAACAUGAAUUCAUAUCUUGAGAACAUUACAUAAAUAUACGACACUCUGUUCUUAAUCUAUCAUCUAAAUCUCCAUUGAUGUAUGUAACUACUGUGUCAUUGGAUGAUUAAUAUGGCUCAAUGCUUUGUUUAGUUCUUAAUCUAUGAUUAUUUUGAGUUAUGCUCAGGGCAAUUCUAGAUCUGGCUCAAUGUUUUGUUUGUUUUUUUCAGUACUCAAUGCAUAUUAAUCAUAAUUUCGGCUCAAUACUCUCAUUUAAUAUUACUUGGUUAGGAAAAAAAAUCAUUGGUUGCACAUUCUAUCUUGGAAAAAUGAUCUGAAAUGUCACGAAUUAUCAGCGUUUUACCAAUUUAUACAUGACGUAUGCAAAAUUUAAUAUAUGUCACGACCUAUUGAAUACAGUUACAAAUAUAACACGCCAUUAGUUUCCAUUAGUAUGAGUUAGAAAAUUUGUCUAUAUGACACCCCAAAUUGCAUGUGUCUAUGUCAUAUAAGCGGCCAACUAGAUUCGUACCGUUACUAGUACUAGAAGCCACUCCACACCCUCAUACCAACUAUAGGUCGAUCGGGUAUGAUCAAAUACACACAAGGAUUACAACAAGAAAAUCAACCAACAAUACUACAACAAGACAACAAAAGAGUAUGUUGCAGGCGACGCACCAUUUAUACGUUGAAAACUUCUUCGGUUUGAAGAGUAAAGACAACCACAAGACUUGUAAUAAGUGCACACUUCCUUUUAACUUCAUGAUAAAAUUAAGAGAGAAAAAAACGCACAUGAAAAAUAAAAAGUUUCACAGCCCAUUAAUAUUCCUAUAUGUAAGAGAGCAAUAAUGGACGAACCAUUAUUGACGAUUAUGGACAAACCAGAGCUCCAAACUUGUAUACGUAAGAGAGCAACAACCGAAAGUCGAUCCGCCUGGGCUUUGAUUCUCAAAAUGAGUCUCUCAUCAAGUUUCAUCCAUGUCUUCCCGGAGGAGAUUUGCUUCCGAUAACUUUCCCUGAAAUUAAAUUUGUCAAUGCAAAACUUUACUUCAACAUGUACCUAAGUACUUUAAAACGUUUCUAUAUGAAUAUUAAAGGAGAUGAUGCUUGUUUUGAGAAAUGAUCUGGGAUUGAAUUGUCAAAUCAAACAGAUAAUUAUUGACGAAAGAAGACCUGUAUAAUAGUUAGGGAAGAAAUCAAGAGAUAUAUGAUCUGGGAAGCAGUAGUACUAACGGCGUGCAAGAGUGGACUGCGCACCCAGAAAAAGCAGCAACAUCAAGAGAACCAGCAACACCAGCAGACACUUGUUGAUGUUCAUAUCUCGUAUAAUAAGUAGUAUGUAUCCAAAUGCAUUGACGAUCCAAGACUUAAUUUUCUAGCCAAGUAAGAUGAGUUGAUGACUGUCUUUAAUUUAACAGAAAACCCCACCCAGCUAUCUACCUACCCCCAGC
rnacentral:lncRNA from 1 species